AGAACCUUGCUUUGGAAGCCCUUGAUUUUGAAAGUCAGUUAAAGAAGUUCGACUCUUCUAGGUUCUU
rnacentral:tRNA from 1 species